GACGAACGCUGGCGGCGUGCUUAACACAUGCAAGUCGAACGAUGAUGCUGGAGCUUGCUCCAGUUGAUUAGUGGCGAACGGGUGAGUAACACGUGAGCAAUCUGCCCUUGACUCUGGGAUAACUGCGGGAAACUGUAGCUAAUACCGGAUACUUUCACCGGGGGGCAUCCUCUGGUGAUGAAAGAAUUUCGGUCAAGGAUGAGCUCGCGGCCUAUCAGCUUGUUGGUGAGGUAACGGGUCACCAAGGCGACGACGGGUAACCGGCCUGAGAGGGUGACCGGUCACACUGGGACUGAGACACUGCCCAGACUCCUACGGGAGGCAGCAGUGGGGAAUAUUGCACAAUGGGCGCAAGCCUGAUGCAGCGACGCCGCGUGAGGGAUGAAGGUCUUCGGAUUGUAAACCUCUUUCAGUAGGGACGAAGCGAAAGUGACGGUACCUAAAGAAGAAGCACCGGCUAACUACGUGCCAGCCGCCGCCGUAA
rnacentral:rRNA from 1 species